GCCUGCUGUGUGCCUAAAACUGGGAUUGAUGUGGCCUAUUACCCCUGAGUGAAGACACAUCCCGACACAAUGCACACUGCUGACAGGAGGAUGAGAGACCUCAGCAAGCACCUCGCAUCUUUUCUUCAUGAUUUGUCAAAUAAGCAAUGCUUUAGAUGAUAUGUAGCUGUAAGUUCUUUGCUCCAGGCAAAGGGGUUUUAAGCAACAAGCUCUACAAGUGUCUCUUUUUUUCCUGAACUGACGAAUUACCGGAUUUACACUGUGAUCAUCUGGCCUCUAUCAUUACUAUGUUUUUGGCCAAUAUUAGAUGUUCAAUGACAGUUUUACUGGAACAUAAGGAAGGACUCUUGAAUACAGUUUAUAUCAGUUAUAGACUUUUGGGUGUGUGAAUGUACAGUAAAUUCCGAUUAUUCAAGUUUUUAAUUCAGACAAAUCUCAGAUUCUCGGUUGUACUGAUUUGAAUAUAAAGUCAAAUGGCCUGAUUGCUCAAAUUUGGUUUAUUUAGAAGUUUUCGCUUAUGCUACUUGAGACUGGUAGUAACUACAGAGCCAAAUUAUGAGAGUGAAAUAGCUAGAAGAAUAAGAAAGGGAUGGAUCACAUUCGGCAAGCAUUCUCAAAUCGUGAAUCUUAACGUGCCAUAAACCUUCAAGAAGAAGGUAUAUAACAGCUGCGUCUUGCCAGUGCUUACCUACAGAGCAGAAACCUAGAUGCUUACAAACAGUGUUCAGCUUAAAUUGAGGAUGACACAGCGAGCGAUGAAAAGGAAGAUAAUAGGUGUAAUCUUUAGAGACAAGAAUAGAGUAGAGUGGAUUAGUGAACGAACCAGGGUUUUAGGAUAUCAUACUUGAAAUCGAGAAGAAAUGGACAUGGGCCGGGCACGUAGCACAUAGGCAGGAUAACUGCUGUUUAUUAAGAAUAACUGACUGGAUUUCCAGAGAAAGCAAGCACAUUAGGGGUAGACAGAAUGUUUGGUUGGCAGAUGAGAUUAAAAAGUUUGCAGGUAUAACGUGGCAACAAAAAUCACAAGACUGGGUUGAGUGGUGGAUCAUGGGAGAGGCUUAUGCACUGCAGUGGGCAUAGUUAGGCUAAUGAUGAUAAUGAUGCUUAGAAAAUGUUUUUUUUUUUUUUUUUCAAAUGAAGUUAUAGAAAUGCUGCUACAAUUUCUCCAAACUGCUCCAAAAAGAGAAAUGCUGCUUAAUGUGCUCCAAAUUGUGAAUUUUGUCAAUAAAUACUCCAGAACUGCCUUAAGAUAGAUCUGGGAAACUGAAAACGGUGUACUUUAAUUGCGCGACCAUCCGGCGAGCCUAAACAACAACUUGCUCUAUACUAGCAGAUUGAGAAUUUUGCAUAUACUAACAUAGAUAUAUAUUUAUCUGACAGACUAUUUUUGUGAAUGUGUGCGAGAUUAGUUCAGCAUCAUAAUGAGUACUAACUACACUAACUGCUGCUGAUCAUGAUGACUGAUGGGUGACUGAUUACAUUUACCACUUUAUCAGCUUUGAGCUCAUUUAUGUCAACAGAAGUGGCGUUUCAAUUGUAUAUUUUACUUCCAAAAUAUUUAAGGCCGACAAUUCUGGUAAAAUAUGAAAAUAACAUAGAGCACAUGUACCGAUUUUAAACUAUUCCUUUAACAAGUUGAAUGUGGCAAUGGCUGCUUUUGUGAUUUGAUGCUCAGCUUUGUUGCUUUUAUAUGAUAUCUAUUACAAGUAUUGGCAUUUCAAAUAUAGAUCACUCAUCCUACUUAGUGUUCAGUGAACAUCCAUCUGCUUGAUUACUUGUUUUGUGUUAUUUCAAGUUCUUAUGCACAUGCAAUAUAUUUGAUAAGUAUUCAUAUUUACUAGAAGUUUAGAUGACGCUUAAACUCUAGGGACGGUUUGGAAUAUUUUGCCAUCUGCUCCGGAAACAUCAAUAGUUAUUCCAUACUAGCAUAGUUUUUCUUCUCCAAAAACACUUAUGGUUGUUCCAGAGCACCACUUUUUCUUCUGUGGAAUCUGCUCCUAAAAUCAAAAUGUUGCUUCCAUCACUGCAAAUGUGUAUACUGUAUCUGUAUUGAACCUAGUUUUCAGACCUAAUAUUCUCCUGGUUUCUGUAUUCUUCAUAUGUUUUUUCUGUUUUUGCCAUGGGCUAACUGGUGCUGAUCUUAAUGUGAUAUUUUAACAUGUUUCAUGUUAAAAUUAACUUUUGAAUUUGCUUUUGUGUUCCUAAAAAAGAAAUCUAUUUUCUUUGUUCUAUGACGUCUGAGCAAAUCUAUGAGUGAAGAGACUUUAGCCAGGCAGAGGUAGUCUGCCUUUAGUUACUUCAACCUACACAAAUUUUCUUUUUGCCUAAAUAAACUGAAUGAACAAAUGAAUGCAA
rnacentral:lncRNA from 1 species